UGCCUCUCCACAGGCCGAGAUCCUGCC
rnacentral:piRNA from 1 species